CAAUAGCGUAUAUUAAAGUUGUUGCAGUUAAAAAGCUCGUAGUUGAACUUUGGGCCUGGCAGGCCGGUCCGCUUUUUGGCGAGUACUGACCCUGCCGGGCCUUUCCUUCUGGCUAACCUCCCCUCUGGAGAGGCGAACCAGGACUUUUACUUUGAAAAAAUUAGAGUGUUCAAAGCAGGCCUUUGCUCGAAUAUAUUAGCAUGGAAUAAUAGAAUAGGACGUUUGGUUCUAUUCUGUUGGUUUCUAGGACCAUCGUAAUGAUUAAUAGGGACGGUCGGGGGCAUCAGUAUUCAGUUGUCAGAGGUGAAAUUCUUGGAUUUACUGAAGACUAACUACUGCGAAAGCAUUUGCCAAGGACGUUUUCAUUAA
rnacentral:rRNA from 1 species